rnacentral:rRNA from 1 species
AGCAGCCGCGGUAAUUCCAGCUCCAAUAGCGUAUAUUAAAGUUGUUGCAGUUAAAAAGCUCGUAGUUGAAUUUCGGGGUCAAUAAGUUGGUCAUGCCAAUGGUAUGCACUGGCUUUAUUGAUUCCUACCUCUUGACGAACUGUGAUGCCAUUAAUUUGGUGUUGCAAGGAAUCAGGACUGUUACCUUGAAAAAAUUAGAGUGUUUAAAGCAAGCUUACGCUUGAAUACAUUAGCAUGGAAUAAUGAAAUAGGACGUUUGAUCCUAUUUUGUUGGUUUCUAGGAUCGACGUAAUGAUUAAUAGGGAUAGUUGGGGGCAUUAGUAUUCAAUUGUCAGAGGUGAAAUUCUUGGAUUUAUUGAAGACUAACUACUGCGAAAGCAUUUGCCAAGGAUGUUUUCAUUAAUCAAGAACGAAAGUUAGGGGAUCGAAGACGAUCAGAUACCGUCGUAGUCUUAACCAUAAACUAUGCCGACUAGGGAUCGGAUGAUGUUAAUUUUUAAUGACUC